GACAGAGGGUGCAAACGUUGUUCGGAAUUACUGGGCGUAAAGCGCGUGUAGGCGGCUGCGCAAGUCGGAUGUGAAAUCCCAUGGCUCAACCGUGGAGGGUCAUUGGAAACUGGGGGACUUGAGUACAGAAGAGGAAAGCGGAAUUCCACGUGUAGCGGUGAAAUGCGCAGAUAUCGGGAAGAACACCCGUGGCGAAGGCGGCUCUCUGGGACGGUACUGACGCUGAGACGCGAAAGCGCGGGGAGCGAACAGG
rnacentral:rRNA from 1 species